UCACAACCAGUUACAGAUUUCUU
rnacentral:piRNA from 2 species